rnacentral:rRNA from 1 species
CAGCCGCCGCGGGAAUACGAAGGGCGCAAGCGUUACUCGGAAUUACUGGGCGUAAAGCGUGCGUAGGUGGUGGUUUAAGUCCGUUGUGAAAGCCCUGGGCUCAACCUGGGAAUUGCAGUGGAUACUGGGUCACUAGAGUGUGGUAGAGGAUAGUGGAAUUUCCGGUGUAGCAGUGAAAUGCGUAGAGAUCGGAAGGAACAUCUGUGGCGAAGGCGACUAUCUGGGCCAACACUGACACUGAGGCACGAAAGCGUGGGGAGCAAACAGGAUUAGAUACCCCAGUAGUCCCUGUCUCUUAUAC